ensembl:lncRNA
GUACUGUUCCUAGGAGCAGCAUUGGGAAGGAACUUGGACACACCCAAUUGCGGGUUGCUUGCUCCUAAUAUAAAGGACCUGAGCUUCACUUUCAUUCAGGCUCCUGGAGAGGUGGCCUUUAUUUGCAUUGAAGAAGAGGAAAUGGAAGGACUCAGAAGACUGGUGGCCAGAAGAGGAGCAGGAAGACCCUGCAUGUCCAGUAGACCAGAGACCCUACAAGUCUAAGGCACAGAGACCUGAUAAGUCCAAAGAGACUGGCAGCCAUUCUUACUAAUUUCUUGCUGAAAUGUGGCUCUGGAGAGUUUUGUGAAACUGGAGAGCAUUAUGUGUUUUUGACUGGACCUCAUACUCUAACAUCUUGCUUCCCUGAGCUGCCAUAUCAGCAUGUUAUUUUCUAUACCUUUUCCUUGCACUUCAGACAUUUAUUUUGUGUUCCAAUCUCCUCCUCCAUGUCUACAACACAUCCUUAACCCUCAUUUCCACACUCCCACAUAAUCUACUGGAAGGGUGAUUUUUUUGGCAUUUGUGAGCGGUGUUAACAAGGAUCAGAUGGUGCCAUUGUUUAUGAAAGAACCAGGUUUCCUUUACCAGCUGUGGCAUGCACCAGUAAAAAAAAAAACAUCCAGCAGUGUGGACUUUACAGUGGAGUUCUUGUAUUUAGCAGGUGAAAAGUCAAUACUCUACCUGUAAUGAGAUUCGGUCAUGGAAAACCCCUUGAAGUUGUUUUUAGCAACGAGGCAUUAGUCACCCUUGGACAGCUGCUGGCCACUCGGCGCUUCUGGCUCGCACCGCGCCACGUGCAAGGGCUGUUUUGAAGGCUGCUCAGUGUUAAUGGUGACUCUUGCUACGCCUCAGGUGUUGAGUUUAAGCACAUGGUUUCUGGUUAUUUUAGGAAAACAUGAGCUCAUGUUCCAAGCAGCCUUCCCUCCAGUGAGAAGUUCAUUGCAGCCCAUCCCUGUGCAUGGGGCUGGGGAUGGUUAUACCCCGUGUCUUUGGGGGACUAGUGUGCCUUGGGUUUUCUUCCAAGUCUGGGGAUAUGGGAUGGUGUGAUGAUGAAGUGGUGAGAUGAUGCAGUGCUGUGAUGGGGCUGUGCUGGGGAGUGCCUCCAAAAGCAUCACCAGAAGCCUGAUGGCCACCCAAAGCAUUUUGCUACGCCCAAUGCCCUUGUGGGUGGUAGCCUGCCCAUGCUGAGGAACUGAGGGUGUGUUUGGAGGAUAUGAAGAGGUUGGUCAGGGAACUCAUGGAAAUGCAAGUGCAAGGGCUGAGAAAAAGGUGCUUUCUGUGUCAUAGACAUAGGUUAGGCAAAGAGGAGACAGCAGAGAGGUGAGAUCAUGGAGCAAGGAGGAGUGGAAUCUAUUAGAGCAUCAAAUGGCUGGAUUAAGUCAUACCACGUGAAGGCUAAGGCAGCUCCUAAAGAAAGGGAAAAUACAGGUGAUGAAGGAAGAAGUCAGUUUAACAGACCUGAAAUCUGGCCUGCCUGCAGAAAUGCGGGCUUGGAGCAAUGACCUUCUUUGGGAAGAAAAGGAUAAGCUGCUGACCAGUGGAUGCUUACCCAUUUCCUCCACCCCAUGGCUUCCCCCAGUCUCCAGCAUUGGCUGAGUAGGAAGGGACCUUUGCUCAAGGAGAGUGCUGGAUUUUCUGGCUGGUGGACAAGGGCAAGGAAGACCUGGUGAGGACAGUUCUUGCACUAGAUAUGGAGAGUGGGGAUCCAUGUUGAUGAGUGUCAGGAACUAGUGAGGGGGAACCACAAAAAAUGGUCAGCAAGGGUCCUGUCUCUGGGACCAGCCAACCCUUUACUUCCUCUGCAGCUCAGGCAGAGUUUGCAGAGAAGAGAGUCUGAUAAUACAUUGUCCCCACUUUAUAAGCAAAUAUCUUGAAAUAAUACAUACAGCUUUUGCUGAUAUCUUCAUCAUAGAGCAAUCUAAGGGUGUGCGUAGCUUGGAUCUGACAAGCAGAUCUCAGAAAACUUCUUCUGAUAGAGAGUGCAUUUAAAUGGAGAUGACAGGGAGAAUUUCAAUUUCAAUUUCUUCGAUAGAUAUGACCAAAAAAACAGAGCAAAUGUGAAAGUGUUAGAAAAGAAACAGAAUUUCAUUUAGACAUCUUGUGUUGAAACAUUGUGAUGUCUUUCUUUGAGAACUUUCAGAGCCACUGUACCCCUCAUUCAAGACACUUAGAAAAACCAAGACAUGAGAACAGCAGAAACCAGGCAGAACAGUCUUGUUGAGGCUUCUUGAGAGAGGAAAAGUGGUUGUUUCAGCUGUUGAAUUAUUCCUUCAGUUCUACUGCUCAAGUUCUCCUGAGUUGCUCCAGUGGCACCAUGGAGUCUUAAAUCUAGCCAAAGGAUUCUCGUGGUGCAGGGAAACCCCUGUGUAGCCUCAAGCCAGGGAAGUUGUUUAAGUGAGGCUACAGUUGUGUUUAGACCAGGAAUGGUUCUCUGUAUAGGGCUGGAAGCAUGUGGAAAGGCACAAUGCAGCUGAGAAGUUCCCUCCUCUGUUUCCAUUUUGUGGCUUCUGCAAUAAUCUGUCAAAGGAACCUUAUAAACCCCUAAGUGGUGGGGUUUUUAAAGCAUGGCUGUUAUGGUAAUGGUUUAAUGCUGCCUCCUUUGUUAUGUGUUAAUGGUGCCUUCCUCUUAAGUCUACUAAUAAAAGAAACUUAAACAUCAAUGUGAAAGUCCUUGUAAAGUUACA